GCUGGCGGCGUGCCUAAUACAUGCAAGUCGAGCGAACAGACAAGGAGCUUGCUCCUUUGACGUUAGCGGCGGACGGGUGAGUAACACGUGGGUAACCUACCUAUAAGACUGGGAUAACUUCGGGAAACCGGAGCUAAUACCGGAUAAUAUUUCGAACCGCAUGGUUCGAUAGUGAAAGAUGGUUUUGCUAUCACUUAUAGAUGGACCCGCGCCGUAUUAGCUAGUUGGUAAGGUAACGGCUUACCAAGGCGACGAUACGUAGCCGACCUGAGAGGGUGAUCGGCCACACUGGAACUGAGACACGGUCCAGACUCCUACGGGAGGCAGCAGUAGGGAAUCUUCCGCAAUGGGCGAAAGCCUGACGGAGCAACGCCGCGUGAGUGAUGAAGGUCUUCGGAUCGUAAAACUCUGUUAUUAGGGAAGAACAUACGUGUAAGUAACUAUGCACGUCUG
rnacentral:rRNA from 1 species